rnacentral:rRNA from 1 species
AAGAAGGUAUAGCAAUAGCUAAUUGUAUUAGCAAAUAGUUUUUACAAUAUCGAUUUAAUCGACUAAAAUUCUAGGUAGAUUUAUGAUGAUGACAUUAUCUAUCUAUGUGUCUUGACCAAAUUUCGUGCCAGCAGUCGCGGUAAGACGUAAGAGACUAGUGUUAUUCAUCUUUAAUAGGUUUAAAGCGUACCUAGACGGUAAUUAAAGCCUAUAUCAGGAACUUGUUUACUAGAGUUAAAUGUAAGGGUGUAUUAAAGUACUGUUGAGUGUAGAGAUGAAAUUCGUUGAUACCAAAUGAUUGGCACAGGUAUAGGCGAAAGCAUCACUUUAUGUAAUAACUGACGUUGACGGACGAAGGCUUUGUGUCGCGAACAGGAUUAGAUACCCCAGUAGUCUUAGCAGAAAACUAUGAGUGUCAUAGGUUAGAUUUUAUUUGGUCUAUAAAUGAAAGUGUAAGCACUCCACCUCAAGAGUAAUUUGGCAACAUUGGAACUGAAAUCAUUAGACCGUUUCUGAAACCAGUAGUGAAGUAUGUUGUUUAAUUUGAUAAUCCGCAAAGAACCUUACCACAAUUUGAAUAUAAAUGAUUUAUUUUUACAAGCGUUGCACGGCUGUCUUCAGUUAAUGUCGUGAGAUAUUGGUUUAUUCCAUUAAAUUAACGUAAACCCGUACUUUAUUUUUAUAUAAAGUUGUUCAUUCGCUAUAAUGGAUGUGAUAACAGGGACUAAGACAAGUCAUCAUGGCCUAAAUAUUG